rnacentral:piRNA from 1 species
UAGUUAUGUGGAUGCGGAACUGCU